rnacentral:tRNA from 1 species
GUAGCUAUAAUUUAAUCGGUAAAAUACCCGUAUGUGGCAUGGUUUAUCUGAGUUCAAUUCUCAGUAGUUACC